rnacentral:rRNA from 1 species
AGCGAACGUUUGCGGCGGGCUUAACACAUGCAAGUCGAACGGGCUGUUCCUUCGGGGGCAGUCAGUGGCGCACGGGUGCGUAACACGUAGGUAAUCAACCCUCUGGUUGGGGAUAACACUUCGAAAGGAGUGCUAAUACCCGGUAUGGCGCAGCGGUCUUCGGAUCGCGACGAGAAAGACCCGCAAGGGUUGCCAGAGGACGAGCCUGCGGCCCAUCAGCUAGUUGGCGAGGUAACGGCUCACCAAGGCGAAGACGGGUAGCUGGUCUGAGAGGAUGAUCAGCCACACUGGAACUGAGACACGGUCCAGACUCCUACGGGAGGCAGCAGUGGGGAAUAUUGCGCAAUGGGCGAAAGCCUGACGCAGCCACGCCGCGUGAGCGAUGAAGGCCUCGGUCGUAAGACGUCUGUGGGGAGGAGAAGAAUAAAGACCUGUGAAGAGCAGGCCGUUGACGGUAUCUCCUUAGCAAGCACCGGC